rnacentral:rRNA from 1 species
UACAGAGGUCCCAAGCGUUGUUCGGAUUCAUUGGGCGUAAAGGGUGUGUAGGUGGCGCCGUAAGUCGGGUGUGAAAUCUCGGAGCUUAACUCCGAAACUGCAUUCGAUACUACCGUGCUUGAGGACUGGAGAGGAGACUGGAAUUUACGGUGUAGCGGUGAAAUGCGUAGAUAUCGUAAGGAAGACCAGUGGCGAAGGCGGGUCUCUGGACAGUUCCUGACGCUGAGGCACGAAGGUCAGGGGAGCAAACGGG